UUACAGCCUCUUCCUUCCGGCCCUUUAGACCAGCUCUUCCCUCCGCUUCCACCGGGGAGCCCUCGGAUGAAGAGCUGGUCGAGGCGGUAGUUGACUUGGAGAAGUAGGAGGAGAGGAAACGACAGCCUCAGACGUACAGGCCCCUCUCUCGCUCCUGCCGCAUCCACCUCCUCCCCCCUCAUCAGCGGCACAGAAGGG